UCCCACAGACCAGGGGAAAGCCGGCAACUAAACCAACACUCUGUAGAUGUGCUCACUGCCUUGGAGUUCAGAACGUUAUGGAAGCAUCUGAGAAGUACUUUCUACUCUAGCUUGGCUGCCGGGAUUGUAGGUUCCCACCUUUUGAGGCAAAGAACUGAGCCCUGCUGAUGACAAUUAAAUUGAGGUAGACUCUA